CCCCGCAGAAAGCGCCCGGCCCGCUGCGCAGAGGGGCGCCGGGCGCAGGGACGGCGUUUUCUGAACGCUGCUCGGUCCAGCUCUGAGGCUCGGGCUAGAGGCCGUUCGGUCCCCUUAAACAGCUGUGUCCACGCUCCCAGCCACCGGCCUUGGGCUUUCGCACUCCGGGGCAGCGUACACCUGCCCCACUCGCCUAGACAACCGGGCAGCCCCUCUGUCCCAAAGCCCACUGAAACCGCUCCUCCCGGCCAUUCCCAACCUGCCUCCGGCCUCACCCGUUCCUCCGAGGAAACCGCGGCGAAGGCGCUUGCUGUCGCUCUCCGCCCCCCUGCCCGCGCCGCUGCUCGGUGGGUGGCCUGCGCGCAGCUGCCAUCCUCCCUGGGACUGCGAAACUCGCCCGGUCUCUCUCCUCUGAUCUGCGCCUGGCCUCACCAGCCUUGCCCAAGGCGGCGUGGUUACACACUCAGUCCUCUGGAUGUGUAUGCUAGCUGGGAUAACGGAAACUGCUAUAACCAAUCGGCCCCGAACCAAUUCCUGUGGUUUGAGACGAUAGAGCUUUAUUUCUUGCUCAGAGUGCCUCAUAGGCACGGAGCUCUCCUCCAUGGGCUGUUUCAGGGACCCAAGUUCCUUCCACCUUGGUGCUCUGCCCUCCUUCGGCACUCCGGAGGUCUCUGCUGGGUCUUCUGCGCCAGGCUGGGAAGUGGCAGGCUUCAGUUUUACUCACAUCCUAUUGGCCUGAACUCAGUCACUUUGCCACACCAAGGGUCAGGGGCUGAGUGUCCAGGAAGAAUAGGGAAGUAGUACUAUGAGUAGUUAUUUAUUAACGCAUUACAUAAAUUUAAUCCUCAUAAAUAUGCUCUUGAAAUAGAUACUAUUAUUUAUUCAUCUUGUGUAACUAGGAAAAUAGAGGCUCAGAGAUGUUAAGUAAUUUUCCCAAAGACACACACCUUGUAAGGGAAACUUGGAUUUGACUUCAGGUUGGCUGGCAAUAGACCCUCACUUUUACUCAUUGAAAAAUAUUGCUGAAGACCAUUGACUGAGUUGAAAUUUGAUUCUCUUUGGUGAGAAUCAAACUGAAGUACCAAGAUAUGAAUUCUACUGUACCUUCUAAGCAGGGUCACAGCCUCUUUUAACUCCAAGGGAGGCUAUUCAUAUCAUAGUCUGCAUGAAUGUUGCUCCCUGGAAUUGUGCGGUGCACAACCUGUGUAGCCUUACGUAACAGCUUUGCUUCUAAUUGCCAUAUAAAUUCAACAACCAUUCCCUAUGCAUCUACUAUUUGCCAGUGACUGGGCUAGGUACAUUCAUGCAAAUUAUGUCAUAGCAGGGACUCCUUAAAUUUGUUUGAUUCACUGGCCGUGUAUCAGCAGAGCUUGUUAUGGAAUUUUUUGGGUAGCCACAUUCUGCCCAGUGGAAAAGGGCUUUGCUUUUUUGAAAACUUGCCAUCUCUUAGGAAUUGAAUUCCCUUCAGUGCCCACGUCUGUUUUCUUGCACUGCACACUGGAACGGAGACAAAGUCACCCACGUCUUGUCUUGCUGAGCAUGCCGAGCACAAAGAGGUUGACAGUGCCACUUUGCCACAUUUCUCUUUUCUGUUUGGAUAAUUGCAUUGUCAAGAAUUACUUAUCAUACGUUUAGCAUUUAAUACCUAUUUAUUAUGAGUUCAUGUAACUGCUAUUUAAAGAAUAAUCUGCGCUAACUCCUUUCCACCCUAUUUGAUGCCACUCUGAUUCUAUAAUUGCUGGUUUCUGCGAUAUUAUGCCACAAAACCUGAAAGCAUAAUUGGUUGUUUCAUUCCAGACAAUACGUUUCCAAGAUGCUGAGAGCUUAACUGGCAGGUGGAAGCUCGAGCAAAGGCGUCAGGCGCGCUCACUCGCGCAGGCCGGCCUCGCAGGGUUGAAGUGAAAAAGGAGGGAUGACGUCCACAGAGCAGCGAGCGGCCGGCAUGGCUGAGACCAUUACAAAGCCAGUGACCCUGUUCUUUGGGAUUUGUACUGUAAAGGAACCAUUUCCCGCCCAUCUCUGUUCCCCUGUCUGCAGAACCAAAGGCCGAUCUGUUUGGUGGCCAGCGGUGAUCAGCUGGCAGAUGGUGCUGACGAGGAUUCGACAUUCACCAGGGAAACGUCUCCUGAAUCCACCGGAACUGCGAGAUUUCAUCAUCGCGCAUCCUGCGUGCACCUACCCGGCACAGAGCACUGUGCCAGCCCCAGGACGUGAGGGUCUCGGCCUGGCGAGGCCGAUGGGGACAGCAGCACAGCGUUGAGCCCAGGAGAUGUAUUCUCUUAUUGCCACUUUACCACUGAGAAAACUGAGGCUCAGAGCAGCCCUACAUGGAAGAGCUUAUCUGCAAACCAGUUGCUGUGGCUGGUGUGUGUGUGGCGGGGUCGGGCAGAGGAUGAACCCACCUGGGAUCAGCCGCCAGGCUGGGCACGUGGAGUCUGGAGUCGGGACAGCUGGGCCCCCAAAAGAAGGCACGCAGGACGAGGAAACAUAUCCUGAGUCCCCAGCAUUUACUUAGAGCUUAAUAAUAGAUACUAUUCCCAGAGCAAAACGCUGCGCCUCUGCCCCUUCCCAGUGCUCGAUCAAAAAGCAAGUGCUAUAUCAAAGAUUA